UAAUGACUAAAAUAUGUCUCUCAAAUGCUAUUCAACAAUAGUGCUAUGACUUCAUAAAGCCACUGAUUUAGCUCUAAUUCUAUUUAACAAUCACUUGAUUAUCAGCUUUUCUAUGGGCAUGCCCUUUGUAAAAUUUUUCUGUACAUAUGAAACACAAUAGGAUGAUAUUGCUAUUAUCCCAGUAGUGGCCAUAAAUAAGGAAUCAUUUCGUAAAGAAUUUAUUUUCCCAGCAUUCCUUCCUCUAAAUAUCCAUUAAACUUCACAUCAUCACAAAUUUACAUUUCAUCUGUUUUUUAAAUCAGCCUUCAAAAUGAUUGUAUUAUCAUAUAACUAUAGUCUAAUAUGUUUAUCUUCAUUCUUUUCUCCGCUGACAGAACUGACCAUAGCAAUAAAUUAAGCAGAUGGGUUCACUAAGCUCUUUGUGGUGAUGGAAAGAUCCUUGCCCUGGGAAGUUUCAGGGACAGCUGUGGGAAACCCAAGUUGUACCUAAAUAAGCUUCAUGAGUCUAAAAACCACAGAUUCCAUUGGGAUGAGACCUCAGCCUUUGGAUUUCACUUGGUAUAUCAUGUUCACACAGUUUUAAAAGAAAUGGAAAAUCUGGGGGACUUAUUAGUAUAGUAAGCCAUCUAGGAAUUACAUUGUUCCACCUGUGUUUAAUUCUACCUAAGAGGAAAAAUUUACCUGGAGGGCAAACUACAAAAUAAUAUGAGUCCAUGAACAAGUCAUUUCAUGCUACCAUAAUAUUUUCAUUCAAGUGAAUAGUGUUUGAAAUGAAUAUCAAGAGCUAUAUGAGAAGGGAUAGCCUCAAUACAGAGUAGCCAGUAGACUAAGUCACUUGGAUGAUGGUGAAGUAAAGAGAAAAAUAUUAAGGGAUGACAAUUUACUUCCAUACUUGUCUGUCUCUUCCUUACACCCUGAGAUAAUGCAUAUCUUGAGGUAUCUGAACCCCUACACUAAAGCAUGUAGCCCUGGAUGGAUUGUCACCUGAUAUGUCAUAGCUAGGAUUUGGGGGGGGUGCCCAAUAAAUAUAAUUCAUACUCACUAGUUGCCUUAGUGCCACUCCCUAGAAACCUUCCAUAUAGCAUACUUCGCCACAGCCAAGAUCUUUAAACUUGAGCUUUCCUUUCCUCUUCCUUUCCUUCUCCCACCCACUCUCCUCACUUCUUUCUCUUUCCUGCCUUCUUUCCUCCCCUCCAAUUCAAGUGCAUGCUGCCUACUUCUCAGCACCUCACUUUUCUGCUCAUUCUCUCUCUCAAUAUUCAACUUCUCUAAAGAAAAAAGGAUAGCAGAUUAAACUGGGUUGGCAUUUACAUGGUUCUUUUUGAUGAUCUAGAAAAGCUAGGCUGUCUGAACCAAACAUGUUCCCAAAUUAAUCAUGUUUGUCCUGUCCUGUGCCACAAUCAAAUAUAUUACUCUUUUAUGAUGUGAUUUUCUAAAAAGAUAGCCUGUUUAUACUUUUCUCACUAUAAGAUUCAUUUAAUUAUUCACUAGUUUACGUGUUUUAAUUUCCAAAAUAUGAUAAACUGCGUUUUUUGUUAUCAUGGGAGGUAGGGAUCUAAUUUUUGUCCUAUGUUAUUAGCCAGCUGUCACAAAACUAUUUUCUGAAUGAUUUAGCCUUUCUAUACUAAUUUAAAAUGCUCUCUAUAGCAUGACAUCACACACAUACACUCAUACACAUUUGUUUUAGGAGUCUUCUUACUAUCCCAUCUUUACUUGUUGUACCAGAACCAUGUUGUUUUAAUAUCAUUAUACUACUUAAUAUCUGAUAAUGUAAGUAUCCCUCUUUAUCUUCAUAAGCAAAAUUGGUUCUUUCAUACCUUUAUUAUCUCAUAUAAACUUUUCAAUUAUUUUGUCAAAUUACAAAAUUAAGCCCAUUGAAAGUUUGCUUGUAAAUGCCUUAAAUUUGUAUACUGAUUUAUUUAGGACAAGAAUCUUAAUUUUACUGAAAAUUCUUAACUAGAAAUUCCUUUAUCUUCUAUAAUCUAUAAAUUUUUAGAUAUAGUUUAUCAUGUUUUUGUUACUAUAAAUGGGUUUUUUUCACCACUAUAUUUUUAUAAUCAGUUGAUAAUAUAUAGGAAUCUAAAUAUAGACGAUCUAUGGACUAGGAUUUAUAUUAGGCAUCAGAGAUGGAAAAUGGAGGAGGAGGGGGAGGAGGCGAAAGGGGAAGAGGAAAAAGAAGUGCCAAUUUAAGUUGCUUGCAGUUUCGAUGGGCAAAGCUGUCAAGUAAAUCAAUGAUAACAUCACAGUGUGAUAAGGUAUGAGGCAGAGGGCAUGAUAGUGAGCUCCAUCUGUCAUGGCCAUCUAUCCACCAACUUUGCCAUCUACACAGGUUUUUAUUCCCUGAAAUAAUUCAUCUAAAUCAUCCAUAUGAUAGAAUGGACUUAUCUAGUUGAUAGAUAAAUACCAUUUUUCUUGCCAUAGAGAGACUAAUUACUUGCCCACUAUGACUUCAUAGAAUUACUAUGAAUCUCCUAUGUUCCUGACAUUUCAGUAGGCAACAGCAGAGUAUAAAUCCAUUCACACAAUUCAAGUAUUCACAGAGUUCAUAGCAUAUCUGCUCAGAUAUAUUUUUUGAAGACAACAUUGCUUGGACUUGAGCACACACACGUGAUUACACACAACACACAAAGAUAAAGAAAUAGAAUAUCAUAGAUGAGAAACAAAAUCAUCUAUUUAAGACCUUUAACUAUAUAUUCACUAUGCUGCUGUGAUAAAAUAAUACCCUCCCCUAAAGAUAUUCCUAUCCUAUUCCCAGAACCUGUAAAUAUGUUACUUUAAAUGGCAAAAGGAACUUUGCAAUGUGAUCAAGUUCUGGAUUGGGGGACUGGGAAAUUGUCCUGGAGUAUUUGUAUGGACCCAAUGUAAUCACACAGGACAGUCAGAGCCAGAGAGAAGGCAAUGUGAUGACGAAGCAGAGGCCUGAGUGAUGUACAAAAGGGAUCAUGAGUUAAGGAAGGCAAGUGACAUCUAAAAGCUUUAAAAGACAAAGAAAUGGAUUCUCCCCUAGAGCCUCCAGAAGGAAUGCAGUGCACACAACCUACUUUAAACUUCAGACCACCAAAACUGUAACGUAAUAAAUGUGAAUUGUUUUAAGCCACUAAAUUUGCUAUAGCAGCAACUGGAAGUUAAUACAGCUGAUAAAUCCAGACUCUUCAGUAUCACAGUCACAGCUAUUAUUUAAAUAAUCACAGUGAAACUCUUUAACCCUCUCUCUCAUGGCAGCAUAAUACAGCCCAUUCAAAAAAGCAAUGUAAUAAGCAACAUUUUCUCCUUGCCUUUUGCAUCUUUUCUUAACCUUGCUCCAAUUCUGGCCAUAAGCCAUCUCCUUCUCUAUACAAUUCAUGUCCACAGCUUGCUUUAAAGCCAGAUCUCUAAAUUCAUUUAAUUCCACUAAUUCAAAUCUUUCCCAUUACAGUGGUAUCCAAACAGUACUUUAGCUUUUUAAACUCAACACUCUGCUUUGUAAUUCUUCUUAAAUCAUCUGAACUAUCUAGUAUGCUGUUCUGCCCACUUAAAACCUUCAAAGAAACAGAAGAUGGAUGUGCUUUGGUUUUUAAUCAUCCUGAUGAGGCCUCCUAACUUUCUCACAAUCAUAGUAUACACAGAAAAUAAUGGAAUUUGCACAGCAUCCUUGAGUAAGUGUAUGUGGUUGUCAGGGCCAGGUUUCUGGCUACACUAGGAUCUGCCUGAAGGCCAGGUCAAAAUAUGAGUUAUUCAGAACAUGGAAAUUGGAAACUCUCCUAGGCAUUCAGCAAGCACCAUGCUGCUCACUUAAUUGGAGUUUGGUAUACAUUUGCAAACGCUUCUUGUUAACCAGGAAUGAUAAAGCUAUUAGAAUUUCUAAAAUCAGGUGUACAUAGUUAUCGGAAAGAAAUGGAAGCACUUUAUGCUUCUAUAGAACUGUGAUUUUAUAAACUAUUUUCACACACUCCUUCAUGUGACUAUCAUAAGAAUAUGUGAGAUAAGAAAAUAAGCAUUAUUUGUGCUAUUUUAUAAAUGAAGAAGCUAAGACUUGGAAGGACAAAUAACUUCCCAGAGCUAUCAAAUGGCAGUACCAGGACUGGAGAGUGGCAAUUCUAACUCUACAUUCAUUGUCCUUUCCUCCCUGCCCCAGGAUUAAUUAAGCCCCCUCACCCAAGCUAAUAGUGGUGUUUCUAAAACCCAGGGUAAAAAUGUGUGUACUCAUUUUUAAGUUUUGAGUGGAAAAUUAAAAUCUUAUGUUCUAAGAUCUGAGCUUUUUAAAAAGACUUUUAUUUUCUAUUCUAAUCAAAAAACCAUUAGAGAGUACCCAAAAUUAACAAAAUGCCAUGUUUUAUCAUAUUCAUCACUUAGGAGAAAGACCCAGUAGCCUCACACUAAAACAUAAAAGUUUUAAGUUUUACAGUUAAUUUGCUGAGGCAGCAAACUGCAGCUCCAUUGGGGAAGUGCUACAAGGUAUUUGGAGAUAAGAGAAUGUCUCAAAUAGAGAAACCAGAUGCAUUAUGAAAAAUGUGUACAAGUCUGAAUGGCUGGAGGAUAAAUAAGACAUAUACUUCUCUGCCCUUGAGGAAUAUGAACAGCUACAUUCUUUUAUUCUUAUAUCACCUAUUGAAGUCAGCAAGUUCCUCCAGGAGGAAUCAAUAAGACAGCUGUAUCCCUUAGAAGGGAUGGCAGUAAGUUAUCCAUUACUCCUCUUUUCAGACAUAAAAUAAAGGAAAACAUAAUUUAUUCAAAUUAGGGGAGAAGUAAUAUAUAAUCUACCAUAAGCAACAUGCAAGCCUACUGAAAAUAAUAGCAUUAUCAUUCUGA
rnacentral:lncRNA from 1 species